CUUAGAUCUUUCUUAAGAUGAAGCCAUAAACAGGGCAAAAUGGAGAAAACAAAUUCGUAUAAUUAAUUAGUUUGGGAUUAAGUGUUAAUAUAGUUGAGUUGAGUUGAAUUGUUACUAACGGGUAUAUUAAUGGCCACUAAAUUUACACUAAUGUUUGUUUUGAAUUUUGAUCAUUAAACUUUAAUUUGAGUCAACAGUCAAAGAAGUUUUCAUUGAUGAGGCAUUACCACAAUGGCAGAAUGAUACCAUGACUUGCACAUUUGCUUGUUAUUAGAGUUACAGAUGUAGACUUGCAUUGAGAAAUGUUAGGACUUAGGAUAUGAGUCCUAGCUUUCAGGUAUUGCAGUAAUUUAGAAGAGAAACAGAAGAAA
rnacentral:misc_RNA from 1 species